rnacentral:rRNA from 1 species
ACGAACGCUGGCGGCGUGCUUAACACAUGCAAGUCGCACGGAAAGGCCCUGCUUGCAGGGUACUCGAGUGGCGAACGGGUGAGUAACACGUGGGUGAUCUGCCCUGCACUUCGGGAUAAGCCUGGGAAACUGGGUCUAAUACCGGAUAGGAGCCAUUUUUAGUGUGAUGGUUGGAAAGUUUUUUCGGUGUAGGAUGAGCUCGCGGCCUAUCAGCUUGUUGGUGGGGUAAUGGCCUACCAAGGCGGCGACGGGUAGCCGGCCUGAGAGGGUGGACGGCCACAUUGGGACUGAGAUACGGCCCAGACGCCUACGGGAGGCAGCAGUGGGGAAUAUUGCACAAUGGGCGCAAGCCUGAUGCAGCGACGCCGCGUGGGGGAUGACGGCCUUCGGGUUGUAAACUCCUUUCGCUAGGGACGAAGCUUUUUGUGACGGUACCUAGAUAAGAAGCACCGGCUAACUACGUG